GGAGAGGCUGUCACUGGCGAGACACGCUGGCUGUAACCCAGUGCUCGUAAUGAGCUUGUUGGUUCGACUCCAUCUCUCUCCACCA
rnacentral:tRNA from 2 species